CCUGGGAUAUGGCUCAGUGGUAGAGGACUUGCCUGGCAUGCGUGAGGCCUUGGUCCGAUCCCCAGUGCAGGG
rnacentral:tRNA from 1 species